rnacentral:rRNA from 1 species
GACGAACGCUGGCGGCGCGCCUAACACAUGCAAGUCGAACGGAGUCAAGAGGAGCUUGCUUUUCUUGACUUAGUGGCGAACGGGUGAGUAACGCGUGAGUAACCUGCCCUGGAGUGGGGGACAACAGUUGGAAACGACUGCUAAUACCGCAUAAGCUCACGGAUCCGCAUGGAUCUGCGGGAAAAGGAUUUAUUCGCUUCAGGAUGGACUCGCGUCCAAUUAGCUAGUUGGUGAGGUAACGGCCCACCAAGGCGACGAUUGGUAGCCGGACUGAGAGGUUGAACGGCCACAUUGGGACUGAGACACGGCCCAGACUCCUACGGGAGGCAGCAGUGGGGGAUAUUGCACAAUGGGGGAAACCCUGAUGCAGCGACGCCGCGUGGAGGAAGAAGGUUUUCGGAUUGUAAACUCCUGUCGUUAGGGACGAUAAUGACGGUACCUAACAAGAAAGCACCGGCUAACUACGUG